GACGCUGAGGCGCGAAAGCGUGGGGAGCAAACAGGAUUAGAUACCCUGGUAGUCCACGCUGUAAACGAUGAAUACUAGGUGUGGGGGGACUGACCCCCUCCGUGCCGCAGUUAACACAAUAAGUAUUCCACCUGGGGAGUACGACCGCAAGGUUGAAACUCAAAGGAAUUGACGGGGGCCCGCACAAGCAGUGGAUUAUGUGGUUUAAUUCGAAGCAACGCGAAGAACCUUACCAGGGCUUGACAUCCUACUAACGAAGCAGAGAUGCAUUAGGUGCCCUUCGGGGAAAGUAGAGACAGGUGGUGCAUGGUUGUCGUCAGCUCGUGUCGUGAGAUGUUGGGUUAAGUCCCGCAACGAGCGCAACCCUUGUUGCUAGUUGCUACGCAAGAGCACUCUAGCGAGACUGCCGUUGACAAAACGGAGGAAGGUGGGGACGACGUCAAAUCAUCAUGCCCCUUAUGUCCUGGGCUACACACGUAAUACAAUGGCGUUUAACAGAGGGAAGCAAUACUGUGAAGUGGAGCAAAUCCCUAAAAGACGUCUCAGUUCGGAUUGCAGGCUGCAACUCGCCUGUAUGAAGUCGGAAUGCUAGUAAUCGCG
rnacentral:rRNA from 1 species